UGUAGCUCAGGGGUAGAGCGCAACCUUGCCAAGGUUGAAGUCGUGAGUUCGAAUCUCAUCGCCCGCUCCA
rnacentral:tRNA from 1 species